rnacentral:rRNA from 1 species
AACUAACGCUAGCGGCGUGCCUAACACAUGCAAGUCGUACGAGAAAGUCCGUUUCGGCGGAUAAGUAAAGUGGCGCACGGGUGAGUAACGCGUGGAUAAUCUACCCUUUAGUCUGGAAUAACCCAUCGAAAGGUGAGCUAAUACCGGAUAAUGCUGCACAACUACUGUUGUGUAGUCAAAGAUGGCCUCUGCUUGCAAGCUUUCACUGAAGGAUGAGUCCGCGUACCAUUAGCUAGUUGGUAAGGUAAUGGCCUACCAAGGCGACGAUGGUUAGCUGGUCUGAGAGGAUGAUCAGCCACACUGGAACUGAGACACGGUCCAGACACCUACGGGUGGCAG